AGUAAAAUUGCUGGACCAUAUGGUAAUUCUAUGUAUAACUUUUUGAGGAACUGCCAAACUAUUUUCCACAGCAUCUGCACCAUCAUACAUUCCCACAGGCAAU
rnacentral:pre_miRNA from 1 species